ensembl:snoRNA SNORA73 Small nucleolar RNA SNORA73 family
CCAACUUGGAUACCUUGGGGUCGCUUUCCCAGGCUCUGUCCUGGUGGUGGCGGGAGCUUAGGGCUCUGCCCCGUGACUGACAGUCCCUUUCCACAACGUCAGUGAUGAAGCCUGGCCCCUAGUCCGCACCUGCAUAUUCCUACAGCUUCUCAGAGUCCCACGGACCGUGACUGAGGAGUCAAACCAUGCAGGAAACAGUU